GACGAACGCUGGCGGCGUGCUUAACACAUGCAAGUCGAGCGAUGAAGUUCCUUCGGGAAUGGAUUAGCGGCGGACGGGUGAGUAACACGUGGGUAACCUGCCUCAUAGAGGGGAAUAGCCUUCCGAAAGGAAGAUUAAUACCGCAUAAGAUUGUAGUACCGCAUGGUAUAGCAAUUAAAGGAGCAAUCCGCUAUGAGAUGGACCCGCGUCGCAUUAGCUAGUUGGUGAGGUAACGGCUCACCCAGGCGAUGAUCGGUAGCUGGUCUGAGAGGAUGAUCAGCCCCACUGGAACUGAGACACGGUCCAGCCUCCUACGGGAGGCAGCAGUGGGGAAUAUUGGACAAUGGGGGAAACCCUGAUCCAGCAAUGCCGCGUGGGUGAUGAAGGCCUUCGGGUUGUAAAGCCCUGUUGGCGGGGACGAUAAUGACGGUACCCGCAGAAGAAGCCCCGGCUAACUUCGUGCCAGCAGCCGCCGUAAUAC
rnacentral:rRNA from 1 species